ensembl:snRNA U2 U2 spliceosomal RNA
AUCGCUUCUCGGCCUUUUGGCUAAGAUCAAGUGUAGUAUCUAUUCUUAUCAGUUUAAUAUCUGAUACGUAAAAACAAAAAAAAAUUAAAAAUUUUAGAAAAAAGAGAGAGGAAGAGACACUAACU